AGGACGAACGCUGGCGGCGUGCUUAACACAUGCAAGUCGAGCGGAAAGGCCCUUCGGGGUACGUCGAGCGGCGAACGGGUGAGUAACACGUGAGUAAUCUGCCCCUAGCUCUGGGAUAGCUCCGGGAAACCGGGAUUAAUACCGGAUAUGACCACUUUAGACAUCUGCUGUGGUGGAAAGAAUUUCGGCUAGGGAUGAGCUCGCGGCCUAUCAGGCUUGUUGGUGAGGUAACGGCUCACCAAGGCGACGACGGGUA
rnacentral:rRNA from 1 species